CCUACGGGAGGCAGCAGUGGGGAAUAUUGGACAAUGGGGGCAACCCUGAUCCAGCAAUUCUGUGUGCACGAAGACGGUUUUCGGAUUGUAAAGUGCUUUCAGCAGGGAAGAAGUAAGUGACGGUACCUGCAGAAGAAGCGACGGCUAAAUACGUGCCAGCAGCCGCGGUAAUACGUAUGUCGCGAGCGUUAUCCGGAAUUAUUGGGCAUAAAGGGCAUCUAGGCGGCCUGACAAGUCAGGGGUGAAAACCUGCGGCUCAACCGCAGGCCUGCCUUUGAAACUGACAGGCUGGAGUACCGGAGAGGUGGACGGAACUGCACGAGUAGAGGUGAAAUUCGUAGAUAUGUGCAGGAAUGCCGAUGAUGAAGAUAGUUCACUGGACGGUAACUGACGCUGAAGUGCGAAAGCCGGGGGAGCGAACAGGAUUAGAUACCCUAGUAGUC
rnacentral:rRNA from 1 species